GACGAACGCUGGCAGCGUGCUUAACACAUGCAAGUCGAACGGAAAGGCCCUGCGUUUGUGGGGUGCUCGAGUGGCGAACGGGGGAGUAACACGUGAGUAACCUGCCCUUGACUUUGGGAUAACUUCAGGAAACUGGGGCUAAUACCGGAGAGGAGCUCCUGCUGCACGGGGGGGGUUGGAAAGUUUCGGCGGUUGGGGAUGGACUCGCGGCUUAUCAGCUUGUUGGUGGGGUAGGUGAUUACCAAGGCUUUGACGGGUAGGCGGCCUGAGAGGGUGGCCGGCGUCCAUGCUCCUGCGGUACGGAGCAGUCUGGUACGGUCGGCAGUGGUCGGGAGUCUUACGCAGCGAGCCCGCGUGUGUUGUGAAGGUCUUGCGUUCGUAAUGCCCGCUUUCGGGGUAAGAACAGCUGUCGCAUGAGACGAGGCCUUAGUGACGGUACCGGGUCAAGAAGCACCGGCUAACUACGUG
rnacentral:rRNA from 1 species